CAGUAAAGACGGCGCCACAUGUAUCUGCAGAAACGGAGCUCUCAGCUGCCCAGGAGCAGCACUACAAGCAUCCCCAUCAUGCAAUGCCCCAAUGGUGUACUUUAACUGCUCCACUGCUCCACCUGGGACCCCUGGGAGUGAGUGCCAGAAGAGCUGCAACUCUCUGG